CGCUGUCGGCGUGCCUAAUACAGAAUCGCGAAAGAGAAAUUUUCGGAUUUUAGAGUCGAACGGGUGAGUAACACGUAAGCAACCUGCCUUUAAGACGAGGAUAACAAUUGCCUAAGUUGCUAAGACUGGAUAGGAAAU
rnacentral:rRNA from 1 species